rnacentral:rRNA from 1 species
GCGUAAAGCGUCCGCAGGGGGCGCAUCAAGUCUGCUGUUAAAGGCUGGAGCUUAACUCCGGUAGAGCAGUGGAAACUGGUGCGCUAGAGGGCGACAGGGGUAGAGGGAAUUCCCAGUGUAGCGGUGAAAUGCGUAGAGAUUGGGAAGAACACCGGUGGCGAAAGCGCUCUACUGGGUCGCACCUGACCCUCAGGGACGAAAGCUAAGGUAGCGAAAGGGAUUAGAUACCCCUGUAGUCUUAGCCGUAAACGAUGGAUACUAGGCGUGGCUUGUAUCGACCCAAGCCGUGCCGAAGCUAACGCGUUAAGUAUCCCGCCUGGGGAGUACGCACGCAAGUGUGAAACUCAAAGGAAUUGACGGGGGCCCGCACAAGCGGUGGAGGAUGUGGUUUAAUUCGAUGCAACGCGAAGAACCUUACCAGGGCUUGACAUCCCGCGAAUCUCGGUGAAAGCCGAGAGUGCCUUCGGGAGCGCGGAGACAGGUGGUGCAUGGCUGUCGUCAGCUCGUGUCGUGAGAUGUUGGGUUAAGUCCCGCAACGAGCGCAACCCUCGUCCUUAGUUGCCAGCAUUGAGUUGGGCACUCUAGGGAGACUGCCGGUGACAAACCGGAGGAAGGUGAGGAUGACGUCAAGUCAGCAUGCCCCUUAUGCUCUGGGCAACACACGUGCUACAAUGGUCGGUACAAAGGGCAGCAAACUCGCAAGAGCCAGCCAAUCCCAUAAAGCCGAUCCUAGUCCGGAUCGCAGUCUGCAACUCGACUGCGUGAAG